GAUACAAGAGACGAAAACUAACUGACUGCUGUGCUUGCACAGAGCAGGCAGUUAGUUUGAGGAUCGAACAAACAUGAGAAUGCAGCCCGACAGGGCGGAAUUCGAAUGUUUGCAGAAUUGCGGGAGCUGCGAAGCAGCGAAGCAAUUCGUGGUAUC
rnacentral:sRNA from 1 species